CGAAUACAUUAGCAUGGGAUAAUGGAAUAGGACCCUGUCCUCCUAUUUUCAGUUGGUUUUGGCAGCGCGAGGACUAGGGUAAUGAUUAAUAGGGAUAGUUGGGGGCAUUAAUAUUUAAUUGUCAGAGGUGAAAUUCUUGGAUUUAUGAAAGAUUAACUUCUGCGAAAGCAUCUGCCAAGGAUGUUUUCAUUAAUCAAGAACGAAAGUUAGGGGAUCGAAGACGAUCAGAUACCGUCGUAGUCUUAACCAUAAACGAUGCCGACCAGCGAUUAGGAGACGUUGAAUACAAAACACCACCAUCGGCGCGGUCGUCCUUGGCGUGUCUCGGCUUCACGGCUGGGGCGCGCGAGGGCGGUUUAGCCCGGUGGCACCGGUGAAUGACUCCCU
rnacentral:rRNA from 1 species